rnacentral:rRNA from 1 species
GCAUUUAGGUGCAGCGUUGCGUGGUUCUUGUUGGAGGUAGAGCACUGGAUGGUCUAGGGGGCUUAUCGGCUUACCGAAAUCAGCCAAACUCCGAAUGCUGGCAAGUGUAGCGUGGCAGUGAGACGGCGGGGGAUAAGCUUCGUCGUCGAGAGGGAAACAGCCCAGAUCAUCAGCUAAGGCCCCUAAGUGGUGACUCAGUGGGAAAGGAUGUGGAGUUGCGUAGACAACCAGGAGGUUGGCUUGGAAGCAGCCAUCCUUGAAAGAGUGCGUAAUAGCUCACUGGUCAAGUGAUUCCGCGCCGAUAAUGUAGCGGGGCUUAAGUUAUCCGCCGAAGCUGUGGCAACCUGUGUGGUUGGGUAGGGGAGCGUCGUGUCAGUGGUGAAGCUGCCGGGUGACUGUGUGGUGGAGUUGAUGCGAGUGAGAAUGCAGGCAUGAGUAGCGUGUGACGGGUGGGAAUCCCGUCCGCCGAUUAUCCAAGGGUUCCAGGGUCAAGUUUGUCUGCCCUGGGUGAGUCGGGUCCUAAGGCGAGGCCG